ensembl:snRNA U6 U6 spliceosomal RNA
AUGUCUUCAGUAGCAUAAAUACUAAAAUCAGAAUGAGACAGCAAAGAUUGGCAUGAGCCCUGAGCAAGGAUGGCAUGCAAAUUUGUAAAGCAUUCCAUAUUUUA